CCUACAGGGGGCAGCAGUGAGGAAUAGUGGUCAAUGGACGGAAGUCUGAACCAGCCAUGCCGCGUGCAGGAAGACGGCUCUAUGAGUUGUAAACUGCUUUUGUACAAGGGUAAACCUGAAUACGUGUAUUCAGCUGAAAGUACUGUACGAAUAAGGAUCGGCUAACUCCGUGCCAGCAGCCGCGGUAAGACGGAGGAUCCAAGCGUUAUCCGGAUUUAGUGGGGUUAACGGGUGCGUAGGCGGAUUGAUAAGUUAGAGGUGAAAUGUCCGAGCUUAACUCGGGAACUGCCUCUAAUACUGUUGAUCUAGAGCGUAGGUGCGGUAGGCGGAAUGUCUGGUGUAGCGGU
rnacentral:rRNA from 1 species